CAGCAACAUUUUGCAUACAGAAGAAUGGAAAUACAGUCAAACCAUUAUGCAUCUUAAGAUCCCAGAGGGACAUAAUUUGUCACUGAUGUCCAGCUGAUGAUGGGGAUUCUGAGAUGUUGAACACAACCUUCUGGAUUUGAGCAUCCAACAAAUUCUUCAUCCACCUAACAGUGCCUCUAACAAAUCCAUCUCUCUCCAAUUUAGAGAAGGAUGUUGUGGAUGCCCUGAUGUGUCAAAGCCCUGAUAGAAGGUUAAAGACUGGAGAAGGACUGUACCUGUGCUGUAAGGUCUUCCAUUGGACAUAGAGUGCACAAUUUAUUUGGAUUUCAGCUUCCCUUACAUUCAGUUCAUACAAGGCUUGCUCUCAGACCAGCUGCAUAAUGGUAAGAGGUCACAGCACCUCACAGAGUACUACUACCCUUUGCUGUCCACUUUCAAGGGCUACACAUAGGUCCACUAAAGCACAUGCCCUUUCUUCACCUGACAUUUAUAGACAAGAAUUAAGCCUGUCAAUGGAUGAAACCUGUAUAAAAAAGAAAACUGUGUGAGGAUUUCUUUUCCCCCAUUAUAUAUAUAUUCACUGUGACCUAAACCACUGGCUGUAAACCAGCAAGCUUUAAAGGCAGAUAGGCUCUUUAUUUAGUCAGACCACACCUCAUUUUCAUUUAAGGUGACUGAUAUUGACCUGAUCCCAGAUCACCCUCCUGACAGAGGUCUUACUGCAAGGUAGCAGCCCCUGCCCAUUUUUGCUGUGGAAUGCAUGCUUUUUCCCCAUGAAUUAGGUGCAGUGCAGACUGGCUUCUAGAAAGGUGCAGGACAAGUAAAGCUGCAUGGCCACCUCAAAACUUACCAGAAAGGCUAAUGACUAGUACAAAGACACACAGUUGCAUUCUCAAGAUGUACAUUUUGGCAGCUUCACCAGAUAAACUUGUUUUCAAAUCUUUGUGUCAAAUCCACCUCAUCUCUUAUUCUUGCAUGAAAUGGAUGCAAUUAUCCUUUCUUAAUGAAAACUGCUGUGUAUCAGGCUAAACAAUGGGGAGCCAAAUGGACCUGCUGAAUCUGAAUUACUCCUGAUGCAUGGCUGAGGCCCCUCAGCAGCCUGCAAUGUCCACAUGGCUGCGCAUGGACAGAUGAGCUUCCUCCCCUGGCUUGCUUUCUCCCAUUUUUCAUGGGAGAUGGGUUUGAGGUCACGAACCCACUCCCACAAACCACUGAGUAAGUUGCAAAGUCACAUUGCAUCAACCAGCUCUGAAUGGGCUGCAGUUUCUCCCAGUCCAUUCAAGGAAACUUCACAUGGGUGUCUGUCUGUCUCUGCUCUCCCUUCACCUCCACAGGCUGGAGAUGCAGACAGAGCCCUCCCUUAGAUAAAGUACAGCUGCUUUGCUGCAGCAGUGUAACUUUGUGGGACCAGGGCAGAAUCAAGAAAAACCCAGGAACUGCAGCAAACAAGAAAUUGAAGCAGAACUCAGAAUUCUGCUCUAUCACUAUGACUUAAAAGACUGUUAUUUUUUAAUUUACUAAUGUAGCCUUUGAGCAGAGGACACAGUAAUGCCAUCUUAACACCACCUUUAAUAGACACAGCCCUUAUUGCACUUACUUCUUUUUAUUGCACAGAUAAUGCAGGGACACAAGCAGAAUAUGGCAGAAAAAGAAGCUGCUAUGUUGCUAGGAAACUAAUUCAGAAAACAUUGACAAUACUUACAGGGUAAGGUUGAACAACAGUGAGGAGGAUCGAUUCUUUGCAGCUUCUAUAAAAAGAAAAAACAAAGCAAAAUCAAGUAAAGAGUCAUUCUUUUAUUCACUAUUGAUAACCUGCUUUUCUUUUUAAUGAAGAAAACUGCAUUAAUAUGGAAGAAUGUUCAUUACAAUGACAUAGCAGAGUAGUACAGAGAUUAAUAAUAUGCCAAAAUAACGACACAUAUUAUGGAAUAAGUUUUUUUUGCAAUCUAAUAAAUUGAAUUGGCCUAACAGUGCGGUUUAUGCUACAAAAUUUUUGCUUCAUCAGAGAAACCUGCAUGCUGCAACAAUGGUUGUCUCUAGCAAGAAUGAAGUAACCUUUGAUUAAUUGCAUUGGUUCAGUAUCUGUAGUCCAUUAAUUUCUUUUACCUACUUUACAAAUGCAAGUCACUUUUAUACCACCUAGCUCUUGUAGACUUCAAGCCAAAUCUUUUUGAAACAGCAGCAUUCUUUUUUAAAACAAAAAUGAGGACAAAAUUUAACCUCCAAUCCUUCUCUAGCUCACCUUUUUAAAUGGGUGGAAAAAGACUAAUGUUUGGUGAAUACUCCCAUUAGAAUUUUAAGUUUUUACAGAAUUGCUAAGGAAAGGUUUUUCUUUCAAUUUAAACAGCUCUUCUUUAUGAUGAAAAACAUAGUAAAUGCAAAACAUAUGAAAAUCUCUAAAAAUCCACAACUGAUUUACAGGAUAAACAGAAGAAAAUAUUACAAAUCUUGAUGUGACCAAGUGGCCUAGACAAAUAAUACAUAUAUUUUAAUUAUUGGUGAGUAGAUGGGGGUGGUGGGUAACUGUGGAAAAGUAAAGUGGAAGGAAGGAAGAAAAGACAAUCACAGUCUAUAGCUCUUGUAUUAUCUUUUGAUCAGAUGGUUGCAGUGGGUGAUAUUAGUUAAGAAAAGGUCAGCUGUCAUUUUGUUGAGACAGAAUUAAAUUUCUAUUGGUUUUACUACUUUAAAACAUAAAUUGUUUAUUUAUCUGAGUUACCACCUGGCUAAAUUGACAUGGAACUGAUUUUGCAUGCCUGACCCCUUGAGCAGAACUAACUAAAAAAAAAAAUCAUACUGUAUUGGUUGCAUAUAGGGUCACCUUAUAGGAAAAAUGACAACACUGAUAUGCAACUUAAGAAGCCAAAAGGCAAAAAAAAUGGAGGAGAGAAUGAAGGCCUAGUCAGAAAACUAUUCUGUAAAGUCAGUCUAUACUUGAUGAAGCAAACACAUUAUUAAAUGCCAACAGGGAUAACAAACUCUACUUUUGCCAGAGCCAUCAGUCAUGUAAGGAGCAAAGUCUAAUCUAAUACCAUGUAACUAAAAAAAAAAUUGCUAGAGCUUCAAUUUUUUACUUCUUUUAUUAGAUAUUUGCAUUAUUACCACAUUUUUUGGGAAUCUACAAAUGCAUGUUAAGAAAGGUAAUUUAUUUCAAGAACCUCAUAAUCUCUGUGCUAUCCACAUCUAUCCAAUUAUGAUUGCUAUAUUGACCUAGGCAGGUUAGUAGACAGAAAGGCUCACAGUUGUUAGUUUGGGAUAAACUGCAGCACUGGGAUAACUGCACCAUGACCAAGUGAUCCUUUCAAUUUCUUUGAACUCACUACUUUAUGUUUCUCAUGCUGUGUAUGAUUACCGCCACCACCUCUGCCUCCUGCAGUCCAGCUAUGCUAGAGAGUUGUCUUUAAAAAUAAAAUCAGCUUCUCCUGAAAAUGCUUUUCAGCUAUUCAUUAUUCUUGGAUUAAACCUGUCCAGGUGUCAGGCUAGGCAAGAUUCAUGCUAGAUUAGAAAGUGUUUUGUUUUUUUUUGACUAAAAGAUCAAAAGGUAUAUCUGGUGGAAAAGACUUUCUUGUAGGAUAAACACUUGCAUUGGAAGGAUGCUAGA